ACGUAGGUCCCAAGCGUUAUCCGGAUUUACUGGGCGUAAAGUGUCCGUAGCCGGAUAUACAAGUCUGUUUUCAAAUAUCCUGGCUCAACCAGGAAAAGGGAAUAGAUACUGUAUAUCUAGAGAAUAUUGGAGGUUAGUGGAAUUUCCGGUGGAGCGGUGAAAUGCGUUGAUAUCGGAAAGAACGCCGAAAGCGAAAGCAGCUAACUAUGAUAUUUCUGACGGUGAUGGACGAAAGCUUGAGUAGCAAACGG
rnacentral:rRNA from 1 species